AGAAUUCGGUUUUUCUAACUUGCUCAAAUCUUCAAAUUCGUGCACUUUGAUGUUAUGAGUUCAUGAUUUUACAACCCAGAACAUUAAUAGACUCUCUAUUACACUACUUUAAACAAUCAAUUGCAUCAAUUAACAUCGAAUCGAAGGAUUUCUAGAAUUUAGGAUUUCCUACCUUUUCAAGCUUGAUUUUUGAUUUCUGGCUUCUUGAUGCU
rnacentral:lncRNA from 1 species